AAUGCGGAGGUAACAGAAUUUUGGCUCCCAUGACCUUCACCUCCUCAGGAUACUUCUGUGAUUAUAUUACACAAUCAAGGUUGAUAAUCAGCUAAUCUUAAGAUAGAAAGACUGUUCUGAGUUAUCCACGUAAGCCCAUUGUAAUCACAGGGGCUUUGAGAGUUGCAGAGGAAGGGAGCUAGGAGCAGCCGAAGAAUCAGAAGAAGAGAUGGACAGCAUAAGGAGAUUGAUGCUGUUUCUGAUCCAGAGAUGUAGGAACCAUGUUCAACGGAUGCAGGGGUGACCUCCAAGAGCUAAAGGGGGCCCCAGCCAACAGCCAGGAAGGAAAUGGGGACCUCAGUCCUAAAACCACAAGAAACUGAGUUCUGUCAAUGACACAAAUGAGCUUGGAAGUGGAAUCUCUGCUCCCCCCGCUUCCCCAAAGCCUCCAGUUAGAACACAGCCUGUUGACAGCUUGAUUUUAUUCCAGUGAGACCAAUGUCAGACUUCUGACCUACAGAAUGCAGAGAUUCUGUGGAUCAGGAAAUCAGACACGGAUGACUUGUUUCUACUCCACAGUGCCUGAGACCUCACUCAUCUGGGAAGAUUAAACAGCUGGAGGUGUCCUGAGUAACUAGCUAAGGGCUGGAAUCACCUGGAUGCUUCUUCCCAUAUCACGCAGGUGACCAGAUUUGCCAGUAUCAUUUAUUGAAGAGACUUUACCUUUCCUAGUGAUCAAGCCAUAACCUUUGUGAGGUUAAUAUAUGACAAAGGUGAUGAUUAAUUAGCCUUAAUAAUUCAAUCAAUGUGGGAAUAUCAUUUUACACUUAAAAAAUUCAGAACUAUAUCAUAUUCUUUACCCUUUCAGGGCCUUUGUUCCCUUUUCUUUUCUUUUUCUUUUUUUUUUUUCUUUAUUUUCCCCAUUCCCUUUUCUACAGUAUAACUGAUGUGGACUAGUUCUGACAUAACCAAUUUAGAAAACAAAAAGUUCUGAUUUUUCAUUCAUUCGACCCAUCAGAUAUUUUAUGGACUGUGAUAGGAGAUAUGUGUCACUUGGGUGGGGAUAUAAAGAGAAAGGAAGAGUCCAGGUGGAUCUCCAGCCCAAACAGUUGGAUAUGAUGGAAAUGGUGUGAUUAU